rnacentral:rRNA from 1 species
GACGAACGCUGGCGGCGCGCUUUAUACAUGCAAGUCGAACGUGAAGCUCGGAGCUUGCUCCGGGUGGAAAGUGGCGAACGGGUGAGUAUCACGUGAGAAACCUGCCCCGAAGACCGGGAUAACACCGGGAAACCGGUGCUAAUACCGGAUGCCCUCACCGGAUCGCAUGGUCUGGUGAGGAAAUGGAUUCCGCUUCGGGAUGGUCUCGCGGCCUAUCAGCUUGUUGGUGGGGUAANGGCCCACCAAGGCUUCGACGGGUAGCUGGUCUGAGAGGAUGUCCAGCCACACUGGGACUGAGACACGGCCCAGACUCCUACGGGAGGCAGCAGUAGGAAUCUUGCACAAUGGACGAAAGUCUGAUGCAGCGACGCCGCGUGUGGGAUGACUGCCCUCGGGUUGUAAACCCACUUUCAGCAGGGACGAAAUUGACGGUACCUGCAGAAGAACGCCCCGGCCAACUACGUGCCAGCAG